rnacentral:rRNA from 1 species
AUUGAACGCUGGCGGUAUGCUUAACACAUGCAAGUCGAACGGGGGUAGCAAUACCUUAGUGGCGGACGGGUGAGUAAUACAUAGGAAUCUGCCUUGUAGUGGGGGACAACUUGGGGAAACUCAAGCUAAUACCGCAUACGACCUACGGGUGAAAGGGGGCUUCGGCUCUCGCUAUAAGAUGAGCCUAUGUCUGAUUAGCUAGUUGGUGGGGUAAAGGCCUACCAAGGCGACGAUCAGUAGCUGGUCUGAGAGGACGACCAGCCACACUGGGACUGAGACACGGCCCAGACUCCUACGGGAGGCAGCAGUGGGGAAUAUUGGACAAUGGGCGCAAGCCUGAUCCAGCAAUACCGCGUGUGUGAAGAAGGCCUGCGGGUUGUAAAGCACUUUAAGUUGGGAAGAAAAGCUAUGUGUUAAUACCACAUAGUGUUGACGUUACCAACAGAAUAAGCACCGGCUAACUCUGUG